rnacentral:pre_miRNA from 1 species
AAUAAGUGUAGCCAUGAUUUUCCGUGUCUAACUUUGACUGUUCGUCUUAUUUGAAAAAAUUUUAAAAAAAAUAAAAACAUAAGUCAUGAGUAAAAUAUUAUUUAUGUUUUAUCAUCUUAUAACAACAAAAAUGUUAAUUAUAAAAAAAUUCAAAUAAGACGGAUGAUUAAAGUUGGACGCGGAAACUUGUGGCUGCACUUAUU